rnacentral:rRNA from 1 species
AUUGAACGCUGGCGGCAGGCUUAACACAUGCAAGUCGAACGAGUGGCGGACGGGUGAGUAAUGCUUGGGAAUCUGGCUUAUGGAGGGGGAUAACGACGGGAAACUGUGGCUAAUACCGCGUACCAUAGGAUGAGCCGAAGUGGGAUUAGGUAGUUGGUGGGGUAAUGGCCUACCAAGCCGACGAUCUCUAGCUGGUCUGAGAGGAUGACCAGCCACACCGGGACUGAGACACGGCCCAGACUCCUACGGGAGGCAGCAGUGGGGAAUUUUGGACAAUGGGCGAAAGCCUGAUCCAGCCAUGCCGCGUGUAUGAAGAAGGCCUUCGGGUUGUAAAGGACUUUUGUCAGGGAAACGGUACCUGAAGAAUAAGCACCGGCUAACUACGUGCCAGCCGCCGCGGUAAUAC